CACUGCAUCUGGCCACCUUUUGUUUGUUUGUUUUUACACCUUUUCACCGUCCAUCACGUUACCUGUUUUAGUUCUACUAUAUUUUUCUAACAUGUUACGGUACAGUAGCAUCUUUGCACUGUAUGUUCUUAAAGAGCCCUUCAUGACUCAUUCUUUGCCUUGCCACUUGUCAUACUAGAAAUAGAAUUUAAAUUAUUAUUUCCCGAAAGUGUGACCAUCCAUUUACUUACAGCAAAACCUAGUCACUUUUCUUACUGUUAACAUAGCUUCACACAAUUUCCCACAGAACUUUUCCCAUCAGUUUGACUUUUCAUUACCUAAAAGAACUUAAUAUUAGUCUCACUAUUGAUAGCCUAUUAUUUUUAUACUUUCCUCCAGAUAAUGUAUGCAAGCAACUUAAAGUACAAUCUGGACUAAUGAGGACUAUUUUAAUCAUUAGUGUUUAAAUGAUUAUACUUAUUAACUAACGAUAAGUUAAACUCAAAUUGGCGUAGCAGAGGAACUGAUCGGCUCAUGUUACUAAAAAGUCUGAUUUAAGGCAAGACUGGAUCCGCGCGCUCAAACAAUGCUUUCAGGAAUCUGUGUCUCCAGCUCUCAGCCCUGCUCCCCCCUGACUCUACCCGGCUGGGAUCAAGGUACGUUCUGGCAGUUUCAGGCCCACGUCCUGCCAGUUUAGCAAUACCAGGGGAAAGAGGGCCUCUUUCAAAACAGUGCAGCAAAAGUCCCGGGACGGAAUCCCCUUGGCGUGACCUGGGGUCAAACGCCUCUUCUGCAAUUAGUCGCUGUGGCUGGCCGAUGAGAUGUGCGGAUUUUUCUGGACUGACUCAUAUGCCGAUUCCUGAAGCUCCACCCAAAGGACAUGGGCUCAGGUUUAUGGAGGAGCAGGCCCUCAAGAAAAGCAGGUGCCUUCAUCAGAAGAGGGGUAGAGGUUGCGCAGAGAAAAAUUAUGUUCAUCUUCUUUCCAAGGUCAGCUCCGCCGAAGGGGCCGCCAAGGAAGAGCCUGAGAGGAGAUGGGUGCUGUUGUCAGCUAAACCUCCCGCAAAAGUGGAAGCGAAGCCGAAAAAGGCAGCAGCGAAGGAUAAAUCUUCAGACAAGUGCAAACAAAAGGGAAAAGGGGAGCAAAGGGAAACAGGCCGAAGUGGCUAACCAAGAAACUGAAGAAGAUUUACCUGCAGAAAACGGGGAAAUGAAAACCGAGGAGAGUCCAGCCUCUGACGAAGCAGGAGAGAAAGAAGCCACGUCUGAUUAAUACCGUAUACCACGUCUUACCAGUGGUCCCCGUGUCCCUUCUUGUACAAUCCAGAGGAAUAUUUUUAUCAACUAUUUUGUAAAUGCAAGUGUUCUAGUAGCUCUAGAAACAUUUUUACGAAGGAGGGAAUCCCACCUCAUCCCAUUUUUUAGGUGUAAAUGCUUUUUUUUUAAGAGGUGAAAUCAUUUGCUGGUUAUUUUUUGGUACAACCAGAAACUAGUGUGGGAUGUUGAAUUAUGGGAGGCUUUGACUGUCUCUGGUGUCAGCUUAACAUUCCAUAGAUGGGGGGUUAGUUUUUAUAUCCUAGAAUACAAAGCAUAUUAAAUGGCAAUAUGGAGUCAGUCCUGCAUUUAAUGUCUUGAACAUUUUAUUUUACUUCUAUUCUCAUGUGUUUUAGUAGAAUUGUUUCCUAAAGCAAACCACCCCUCGAUCAUGGCGCUCGCUCCCUGUCGGAAUCGUGUGCACUCUGUAACAUCUUUGGUUGUUAGUCCCGUUUUCCUAAUAACUUCGUUCCUGUGCUGUGAAAGAUUACAGAUUUGAAUAUGUAGUGUACAUGCUAUUCAGUUGUGAACUGGUGGGCCACAUGUAACAGCUGACCAACAUGUGAAGAUACUGGUACUUGAUAGCCUCUUAAGGAAAAUUUGCUUCAAAUUUUAAGCUGGAAAGUCACUGGAAUAACUUUAAAAAAUAAUUACAAUACAUGGCUUUUUAGAAUUUCGUUACCUAUGUUAAGAAUUGUGUACAAAUUGAAAUGUCUGUACUGAUCCUCAACCAAUAAAAUCUCAAUUAUGAAAAAAA